rnacentral:rRNA from 1 species
AGGGUUUGAUCCUGGCUCAGAACGUACGCUGGCGGCACGCCUAACACAUGCAAGUCGAACGAAGUAGCAAUACUUAGUGGCAGACGGGUGAGUAACAUGUAGGUAUCUGCCCUUUGGCCUGGAAUAACACGAGGAAACUUGUGCUAAUACCGGAUAAGUCUUCACGGAGAAAGCUUUAUGCACCAUUGGAUGAGCCUGCACUUGAUUAGUUUGUUGGUGGGGUAAUGGCCUACCAAGACUGUGAUCAAUAGCUGAUUUGAGAGGAUGAUCAGCCACAUUGGGACUGAGACACGGCCCAAACUCCUACGGGAGGCAGCAGUGGGGAAUCUUGCACAAUGGAGGAAACUCUGAUGCAGCGAUGCCGCGUGAGUGAAGAAGGCCCUUGGGUUGUAAAGCUCUUUCGUCGGGGAAGAAAAUGACUGUACCCGAAUAAGAAGGUCCGGCUAACUUCGUGCCAGCAGCCGCGGUAAUACGAAGGGACCUAGCGUAGUUCGGAAUUACUGGGCUUAAAGAGUUCGUAGGUGGUUGAAAAAGUUGGUGGUGAAAUCCCAGAGCUUAACUCUGGAACUGCCAUCAAAACUUUUCAGCUAGAGUAUGAUAGAGGAAAGCAGAAUUUCUAGUGUAGAGGUGAAAUUCGUAGAUAUUAGAAAGAAUACCAAUUGCGAAGGCAGCUUUCUGGAUCAUUACUGACGCUGAGGAACGAAAGCAUGGGUAGCGAAGAGGAUUAGAUACCCUCGUAGUCCAUGCCGUAAACGAUGUGUGCUAGACGUUGGAAAUAUAUUUUUCAGUGUCGCAGCGAAAGCAUUAAGCACACCGCCUGGGGAGUACGACCGCAAGGUUAAAACUCAAAUGAAUUGACGGGGACCCGCACAAGCAGUGGAGCAUGUGGUUUAAUUCGAAGAUACGCGCAGAACCUUACCAACACUUGACAUGUUCGUCGCGACUUUAAGAGAUUAAAGUUUUCGGUUCGGCCGGACGAAACACAGGUGCUGCAUGGCUGUCGUCAGCUCGUGUCGUGAGAUGUUGGGUUAAGUCCCGCAACGAGCGCAACCCUCACUUUUAGUUGCCAUCAUUAAGUUGGGCACUCUGAAAGAACUGCCAGUGAUAAGCUGGAGGAAGGUGGGGAUGACGUCAAGUCCUCAUGGCCCUUACGUGUUGGGCUACACACGUGCUACAAUGGUAUCUACAACAGGAAGCAAGACGGCGACGUUAAGCAAAUCCUUAAAAGAUACCUCAGUUCGGAUUGUACUCUGCAACUCGAGUGCAUGAAGCUGGAAUUACUAGUAAUCGUGGAUCAGCGUGCCACGGUGAAUGCGUUCCCGGGUCUUGUACACACCGCCCGUCACACCAUGGGAGUUGGUUCUACCUUAAGGCAAGGUUUUAAACCCUUGACCACGGUAUAGUCAGCGACUGGGGUGAAGUCGUAACAAGGUAACCGUA